UCACAUUGCUGCGGGGUGGAGGCGAUUUUAACUAACCCUAAUGCAGAGUAAGUGGCUGGGCCUUCCUCACACUGCCUCCCGCUGCGCGAAACCUCGCUGUUUUCUUGGCUAACUUUCAGCGAGGUGAGGAGAGGCGGCAAAAAAAAAAGGUUGGGAGCAGCAGCGGCAAACAAAAAAAAAAGUUCCAGCCGAGGCCUCCUCACCCCCGCGGCCUGGGUCUGAGGGUAACACGGCCCUGCGGGAGAGAGGCAACACGGGGGCCCCCGGUCCGGCGAACAGGGCAGGAGGUCGGUCCCAAUCGCCUCACAGGCCCAGCCACUCCGGGCCGCGGUCAGCCCGGGGCUUUCCCCCCCACCAUGGGGGCCCAAUGCUGCCGCGAAGAGUUCGGCUCUGUCAGCCCGGCUGGGCCAGGGUGGGGGCCGGCACAGAGGGACACACCGGGCCGGGGCGCCGGGGAUAGCUACCGCCCGCAGGGAUAGCAAAUAUCCGUGACCAGUGGUCUCGGUGGCUGCGUCUCCCGGAGCAAUGGGACCCGCAAGGCUGCCCUGGUCAUACACAU
rnacentral:telomerase_RNA from 11 species